GACGAACGCUGGCGGCGUGCCUAAUACAUGCAAGUUGAGCGCUGAAGGUUGGUACUUGUACCAACUGGAUGAGCAGCGAACGGGUGAGUAACGCGUGGGGAAUCUGCCUUUGAGCGGGGGACAACAUUUGGAAACGAAUGCUAAUACCGCAUAAAAACUUUAAACACAAGUUUUAAGUUUGAAAGAUGCAAUUGCAUCACUCAAAGAUGAUCCCGCGUUGUAUUAGCUAGUUGGUGAGGUAAAGGCUCACCAAGGCGAUGAUACAUAGCCGACCUGAGAGGGGAUCGGCCACAUUGGGACUGAGACACGGCCCAAACUCCUACGGGAGGCAGCAGUAGGGAAUCUUCGGCAAUGGACGAAAGUCUGACCGGGCAACGCCGCGGGAGUGAAGAAGGUUUUCGGAUCGUAAAACUCUGUUGGUAGAGAAGAACGUUGGUGAGAGUGGAAAGCGCAUCAAGUGACGGUAACUACCCAGAAAGGGACGGCUAACUACGUG
rnacentral:rRNA from 1 species